rnacentral:rRNA from 1 species
UACGUAGGGUGCGAGCGUUAAUCGGAAUUACUGGGCGUAAAGCGUGCGCAGGCGGUUUGUUAAGCCAGAUGUGAAAGCCCCGGGCUCAACCUGGGAACUGCGUUUGGUACUGGCAAGCUAGAGUACGGCAGAGGGGGGUGGAAUUCCACGUGUAGCAGUGAAAUGCGUAGAGAUGUGGAGGAACACCGAUGGCGAAGGCAGCCCCCUGGGCCGAUACUGACGCUCAGGCACGAAAGCGUGGGGAGCGAACAGG